rnacentral:lncRNA from 1 species
UUUGAAAGUUGGAAAAGAAGUAAAAUCGAAUCUUCCUUAGUAUCAUUAUUCAUUAUCUAAGCAAAAAUAUCUUUCAUAUCUGAUGUAUACGAUAUAUGAACUAAGAAUAUACACCAAUUACUAGUUCAGACAAAUACAAAUACUGUAUUGUACAGUUUCUGUUGUGCCUCAGAAAUAAAGAUUCUCUUCUUCUAUGGAUUCUCUGACUGCCUUCAAUAUCCAUGGCUUGAGUUUCUUGGUGGUAACUAUGAUCCCCGUUUUGUGAGCAAGAUACUUUCCUUUCGAGAAGUCCAGAGAUUUCCCUGUAGCAUCACACACUACGCCUCCAGCUUCUGCACAAGGUUAUUUUGUUCUCUUCUUUAUAUGUAUAGUCCUCUUGUAUUUUCGUUAUACAUUAAAAAAAAAUGACAUGUGGGUAUUAAAUCUAGAUCCCUUAUGUGUUUGAUAACUAGCCAGUAACAUGUUAAGUUAUAAAGUGAAGUAGAGCCAACAGAUCUCAGCGUUUAAAAAGGUUUUAUGUACUGUACCUGUAGUGAUUAUUGAACCAGGUGCAUGGUCCCAAAUACACUCACGGUAUCCAUUGAGAGUGAAACGCAAGUAUAUCUCUGCGUCUCCUCGCGACAAAGCCGCAUACUUAGCUUGGCUAUCGAUCCUUACAGGUAAUGCUUUAAUCCCGAGUUUCUACUCUAACCGUAAACAGAUUGUUUUAGUGGAAAGAAUCCCACUUGGUUAUGGCCUACUUACGAGCACAUUGUAAUAGAAAGAAAAAAAACAAGUUGUUACCUUGGCAAUGGUACCAUGGAUGGGAAUUGGUUUGUGAUUUAUCACAUGGUUUAGCUUUGGACAGGUGAAUGAUACCUUUUGUGGCAGAGAAUUGCCUUUGAGCGAUUGCACGUAAGUCCCUGAACCCGUUGUAGCAAAGAAAAGACAGCCAACAUCUUCCUGGGAAGAAUUAUCAGUCGCGCAAACCGCAGAAGCCAAAGGAAGAUUUGGGCAAGCCAUGACACCAAGCACCACUUUGCCUUCCACAAGCAAGGCUAACCCCACCGCGUAUUGCUCUCCUCUUACAAAUCUAAACAAGCAGAGAAGUUUAGCAACCAUGUUUUUAAGUGGCUGAAAAGAUUAAGUAUAGAGAAAGCAUAGAGAUUAGAGAGAUUGUCACCCUCUGGUUCCAUCUAUAGGAUCAAGAACCCAGUGGGAACCUUUGCAACCGCCUUCUGAUUUACCGCAGUCUAUAGCAUUUAACACAUCAUCUGUGGAUAGAGGAGAGCUGGUGUACGAUUCCUCAGAGGCUAGAGUAUCUUUCACAAGCUUUGCAAUAUCUUCUAGAAACGCCUCACUUCCAUUCUUCCGCAGAUCUCCAGUUUCCUGUUGGAGCUCCCUCUCCAAUACAAGACUAACCACAGCUUGUGAGCCUGAAGAAACCAUCCGUUAAUGGGAGUGGUAAAAGACAUUUUCUUGAUUGAUUUUAUAGAGAAAACAAGAACUUAGCAAAAACAGAAACUUGAAGUUGAAUUCGCGGGUAUGCAAACGACGAGGUACAAACCGUAAUCAGCUGCAGUAACCGGACUUCUAUCGGAUUUUUUCCAAACUUGGGAUUGCAAAAGAGUCUUCUGCACUUCCUGAUUCAUUACAUAAUAAGGUUUGUUUUAGUUUCAGCGAUUCAUAUAAGCUCCAUGCUCUGACUCUAGCUCAGUAGCUUGUUACCUGGCUGAGACGAGCAGCUAGAGUGACGGCUUUCUUUGCAGCGGCUAGCUCCUUCUCAUAAGACAUUGAAAAGCUUCAAG